rnacentral:rRNA from 1 species
UUGGGAAUUUUGGACAAUGGGCGCAAGCCUGAUCCAGCCACGCCGCGUGAAUGAUGAAGGCCUUCGGGUCGUAAAGUUCUUUUGUUGGGGACAAACACAAUGAUGGUACCCAAAGAAAAAGCACCGGCUAACUCCGUGCCAGCAGCCGCGGUAAUACGGAGGGUGCAAGCGUUGCUCGGAAUUAUUGGGCGUAAAGCGUAUGUAGGCGGUUUUCUAAGUCUGAUGUGAAAUCCCGGGGCUUAACCCCGGAACUGCAUUGGAUACUGGAAGGCUGGAGAGUGAUAGGGGAUGGCGGAAUUCCUGGUGUAGGGGUGAAAUCCGUAGAUAUCAGGAGGAACAUCAGUGGCGAAGGCGGCCAUCUGGAUCACAUCUGACGCUGAGAUACGAAAGCGUGGGGAGC